UACGUAGGGGGCAAGCGUUGUCCGGAUUUACUGGGCGUAAAGAGCUCGUAGGCGGUUCGGCAAGUCAGCUGUGAAAUCUCCACGCUCAACGUGGAGGGGUCAGCUGAUACUGCUGUGACUCGAGUCCGGUAGGGGAGUGUGGAAUUCCCGGUGUAGCGGUGAAAUGCGCAGAUAUCAGGAGGAACACCGGUGGCGAAGGCGGGUCUCUGGGCCGAUACUGACGCUGAGGAGCGAAAGCGUGGGGAGCAAACAGG
rnacentral:rRNA from 1 species